rnacentral:rRNA from 1 species
GAUGAACGCUGGCGGCGUGCCUAAUACAUGCAAGUCGAACGCAUUGUGGUUGAAAUGAUAUGAAGAACUUGUUCAGAUUUGAUUUUCAACAUUGCAAUGAGUGGCGAACGGGUGAGUAACACGUGGGAAACCUACCUCUUAGCAGGGGAUAACAUUUGGAAACAAAUGCUAAUACCGUAUAAUAAUUAAAACCGCAUGGUUUUAGUUUAAAAGAUGGUCUUGCUAUCACUAAGAGAUGGUCCCGCGGUGUAUUAGUUAGUUGGUGAGGUAAUGGCUCACCAAGACAAUGAUACAUAGCCGAGUUGAGAGACUGACCGGCCACAAUGGGACUGAGACACGGCCCAUACUCCUACGGGAGGCAGCAGUAGGGAAUCUUCCACAAUGGACGAAAGUCUGAUGGAGCAACGCCGCGUGUGUGAUGAAGGGUUUCGGCUCGUAAACACUGUUGUAAGUAGAAGAAUGACAUUGAGAGUAACUGUUCAAUGUGUGACGGUA